AUGAACGCUAGCUACAGGCUUAACACAUGCAAGUCGAGGGGCAGCAUUUCAGUUUGCUUGCAAACUGGAGAUGGCGACCGGCGCACGGGUGAGUAACACGUAUCCAACCUGCCGAUAACUCGGGGAUAGCCUUUCGAAAGAAAGAUUAAUACCCGAUGGUAUAAUCAGACCGCAUGGUCUUGUUAUUAAAGAAUUUCGGUUAUCGAUGGGGAUGCGUUCCAUUAGGCAGUUGGUGAGGUAACGGCUCACCAAACCUUCGAUGGAUAGGGGUUCUGAGAGGAAGGUCCCCCACAUUGGAACUGAGACACGGUCCAAACUCCUACGGGAGGCAGCAGUGAGGAAUAUUGGUCAAUGGGCGCAGGCCUGAACCAGCCAAGUAGCGUGAAGGAUGACUGCCCUAUGGGUUGUAAACUUCUUUUAUAUGGGAAUAAAGUUUUCCACGUGUGGAAUUUUGUAUGUACCAUAUGAAUAAGGAUCGGCUAACUCCGUGCCAGCAGCCGCGGUAAUACGGAGGAUCCGAGCGUUAUCCGGAUUUAUUGGGUUUAAAGGGAGCGUAGGUGGACAGUUAAGUCAGUUGUGAAAGUUUGCGGCUCAACCGUAAAAUUGCAGUUGAUACUGGCUGUCUUGAGUACAGUAGAGGUGGGCGGAAUUCGUGGUGUAGCGGUGAAAUGCUUAGAUAUCACGAAGAACUCCGAUUGCGAAGGCAGCUCACUGGACUGCAACUGACACUGAUGCUCGAAAGUGUGGGUAUCAAACAGGAUUAGAUACCCUGGUAGUCCACACAGUAAACGAUGAAUACUCGCUGUUUGCGAUAUACAGUAAGCGGCCAAGCGAAAGCAUUAAGUAUUCCACCUGGGGAGUACGCCGGCAACGGUGAAACUCAAAGGAAUUGACGGGGGCCCGCACAAGCGGAGGAACAUGUGGUUUAAUUCGAUGAUACGCGAGGAACCUUACCCGGGCUUAAAUUGCAUUUGAAUAUAUUGGAAACAGUAUAGCCGUAAGGCAAAUGUGAAGGUGCUGCAUGGUUGUCGUCAGCUCGUGCCGUGAGGUGUCGGCUUAAGUGCCAUAACGAGCGCAACCCUUAUCUUUAGUUACUAACAGGUCAUGCUGAGGACUCUAGAGAGACUGCCGUCGUAAGAUGUGAGGAAGGUGGGGAUGACGUCAAAUCAGCACGGCCCUUACGUCCGGGGCUACACACGUGUUACAAUGGGGGGUACAGAGGGCCGCUACCACGCGAGUGGAUGCCAAUCCCUAAAACCCCUCUCAGUUCGGACUGGAGUCUGCAACCCGACUCCACGAAGCUGGAUUCGCUAGUAAUCGCGCAUCAGCCAUGGCGCGGUGAAUACGUUCCCGGGCCUUGUACACACCGCCCGUCAAGCCAUGAAAGCCGGGGGUACCUGAAGUACGUAACCGCAAGGAGCGUCCUAGGGUAAAACUGGUAAUUGGGGCU
rnacentral:rRNA from 1 species